CAGGACGAACGCUGGCGGCGUGCCUAAUACAUGCAAGUCGAACGGUCUUUCUACGGAAGCUUGCUUCCACUGAAAAGAUAGUGGCGAACGGGUGAGUAACACGUGGGUAACCUGCCCAUAAGAGGGGGGAUAACAUCCGGAAACGGGUGCUAAUACCGCAUAGUUUUCUUGAUCGCAUGAUCGGGAAAGGAAAGACGGCCUUUGUGCUGUCGCUUAUGGAUGGACCCGCGGCGUAUUAGUUAGUUGGUGAGGUAACGGCUCACCAAGACGAUGAUACGUAGCCGACCUGAGAGGGUGAUCGGCCACAUUGGGACUGAGACACGGCCCAAACUCCUACGGGAGGCAGCAGUAGGGAAUCUUCCGCAAUGGACGAAAGUCUGACGGAGCAACGCCGCGUGAGUGAAGAAAGGUUUUCGGAUCGUAAAACUCUGUUGUCAGAGAAGAACAAGUUGGAGAGUAACUGCUCCAGCCUUGACGGUAUCUGACCAGAAAGCCACGGCUAACUACGUGCCAGCCGCUGC
rnacentral:rRNA from 1 species